GGUUACAUGUGGGAUGACAGCCGCGGGCAAGCCAGGGCUUCAUAAACGCACGAGACACGUACGCACACUCGAGGAGAGAACCUCGAAUGACCCCCAUGCUCCUCGCCUCACUAAAGGAGGGGAGGAACCCCGAGCAAGGCUCACCGCAAACGCUAGCGCUGCUCACCUAAGCCGCGGGUCGGCGUCAGACUGACUGCCACUUUGCAAAGUGCAACUCCUACCCCAAAACACCAGCACCAACAGGGCAGGGCCCUCACACUGUUGGGUGCAGCCCGAAGCUGCAUCCUGUCGACGGCCUAGGGCCGGUCCGACCCACCAGACAGCACAAGCCACAGCGCCCGCACCCUAGCGCAGGCGGUGCAGGCACGCCCACCGCCCAACCAAGUCCACACAGCCGCGCAACACCCUAGCACAGCAGACAGCGCAAGCCAGCCUUCGCUUAGUCGGCCUGCGCCAGCCAGCCUUCGCUGGACUGCCUUCGCCAGACUGCAUUCGCCAAGCAGGUCUCUCCACUGGCCACACCACGAGGUGUGUAGAUGCGCCCACAGCUCCAGCCGCCGCCGCCCGGAAGACGCCGGUCCUGGCUCCCGCCGCAGCGUGCCCCGAAAGAGCCGCUCAGCGACACGCCACUGCGAGCCCGGCAGCAGCGAGCGCCCCGCCAGAAGCAUCGCGAAGCCAUGAGGACGAGGUCGAACGGCGAGCAGGCGCGCCACCCACGCUAGGUCGCGAAGGCUCCACGGUGUGAAGUCAUGAUGUUCGGCAAAGAUUGCCAGAGCGGGGUCCGCUCGGCAGGACGGCGACGAUGAUGUCGCCGACUGAGUGGCGCGCCGCAGCCAGAGCAGUACUGACGCACUACAGCUGACCUAAGCAACGCCAGGGACGCCAUGGAGGCGCCACAGGGGAUUGGCGCGGCCACGAAGGCCGGCCAGGAACUACUACCGACAAGGAGGGUUAGGGCGCCGAGGCGCCCUAACGCAACCAAGCGGAGUAGAACGAGUUCAAUAGCUGAUAGAGGUUACAUGUGGGACGACAGCCGUGGACUAGCCAGGGCCCCAAAAACGUACGAGACACGCACGCUCACCCGAGGAGAGAUCCCCGAAUGACCCCCAUGCUCCUCGCCUCCGGAGAGGGGAGGAACCCCAGGCCCGGCUCACCGCAAACGCUAGCGCUGCUCACCUAAGCCGUGGGUCGGCGUCAUAAGACUACCUCUUAUUGCGAGUCCCUAAGCUGACAAGCUAGGGUGAGGCCGGUGGCGAGUCCGCUGUUGGCCCUACCAAGAUAACCCCUCCAACAUCAUCUGACGCUAGGAAUGGGUGCUGGUUCGGGACAAGGUCCCAGCGGCGCGGAGGCCGACGCAGACUCACAAACGCAGCUAGCCGUGACCAGAAGUCCGCAAUCACCUCCACACCGAUCCUUCGCACAACAGCAACCUCCGCAGUCCGGUCUGCAGCAUCACGGCAAGCGUAAAGGCGCUGUCGGCCGUAUUCCAGGGCCGCCACAGCAGCCAAGCACACGAUGUCCCACACCGCCUGCGAUAGCCCUGGUGGCGCCUGUACUCAAUAGCGAAUAGAGGUUACAUGUGGGACGACAGCCGCGGGCAAGCCAGGGCUUCAUAAACGCACGAGACACGUACGCACACUCGAGGAGAGAACCUCGAAUGACCCCCAUGCUCCUCGCCUCACUAAAGGAGGGGAGGAACCCCGAGCAAGGC
rnacentral:lncRNA from 1 species